UAAUAAUUGGUCUGAGGGGAGGAGAGGUCACAGAACCAUAAAUACAUAUCUGAGGCACAGGGUGCUUCCUUGCAUAUGACUACUUUGGGGCCGUCAUGCUGAGAAAAGCAUCCCAAGAAGAGAAAGACUGCAGAGACUGUAACAGACUAUGAUUUGAGAGCAGAAGGAAAAAAGGUAAAAUGUGGUGUUUUACCAUGAAGUAAAUACUAGACCUGUUUGAUGGAAGUCUAUGUUUAUAUCUUAUUUGUUCCUUUGCUCUGCUGCAUUCAAUACUGCAGCCUAUUAUUUUUAAAUAGAAGAUACAGUGAUGCCCUUCAUUUGCUGUUCCUCUUGUGCAUAUGUGACUUUGUACGUUCUUUCCCUAAUCAUACCCACACUUUGAAUUCAAACAUAUACCUUUAACAUAUUUCAUUGUGCUCUGAGUGUGCACAAAAGAAUUUUCUACUUUGGAUAUAGCUCUGCAUACAUUUUUAAAAAUGGAAUCCAAUGAAAUGUGUCUCAUAUCUUCUGCCUAGUCUCCUCAUGAAUCAAUGCACAACAGGCAGACUGUAUGAACUCUUGAACAGAUCAUCUUAAACCAUUUUCACUUCCCAUAGAGGACGUAUUUCUAUAUGUAUGACUUGUAUUUGACUAUUACAAUUUUGUGCUUUAUAUUGUCUCUCUAAUUCUAUAUGCUCUGAUAAAACUCACUUCUUUGAAUAUUAAUGAAUCAACAUGUAUAAUGAUUUCUUCAGUGCCAAAGAGAUAGAUCAGCAGUUACAAAUUUGUUCUCUUAUCACAAAGCCUAGAGUCCAAGUACCUCCGUGCAUUAGCUAACCUUUGACUGUAACUCCAAAUCUCGGAAUGCAAUGUCCUCUUCUCAAAUUCCCAGGCACUCAAACAUGAAUACAAAACUUAAAAACAAUUAGAAUAAAUCUCAAGAAUACUUUGCUUUCUUGACCCACAUACUGUGUGUAUUGGAGAAGUUUUCAGUGUCUCCUCAAAUGCAUGGUAAUGCAUUGGAAACUUGGUGCCAUUUGGGAUGAUGUUAUGCAGGAGGAACCAUUUCAUAUUCCAGCUCCAUCUCACUACUUUUCUUUCUAUGUGAGUUCUUCUGAUCCAUGUUCAUGAUGACUUUGAUCACAUCUGCUCUGUUGUCCUCAACCUGUGCAAAUUCACCAACAUACUCUUUUCUUUCAGGUGUAUGCUAUUAAUAAGUUUCUUUUCAUCUGGAAUUAGCACUGCUUAUGCAUUUUGUUCUUGAGAAAUAUGUUGGUAAAUCAAUAUGUGCAUUUCUCAGUAUGAUAUAACAGAUAUGUGAAUUCACAUUUGGAGUUUCUAACAUGUUCUUAUGGUAGAUAAACAAACAAUUUCUAUGGAUAAAUAAAUAUGAAUAGAUGUUAGUUCACACGAAUUUCUUGUGUGAGCUUCAAAGCAUAUAACAGCUCUUCAGAUGAUUCUUUAAAUCCCUACUCAACAGAUGUUUGUUUUUUUAAAAAUGUAUCAAUCAUAAAGUUAUGCUUGUUAUAAUACUUUAGCAUUGUUUUCUCACAGUUUCUUCUAAAUUGUCAAUAGAAGAGGAGAAUUAGAGUUUCCCAGGGCAGAACUCCUUAAUUGGUUUCGUGAUCACUGAAAUUCCAUACAUAGUAGCAACAUGAAAUGGACUCUAGUAAUAGUUUUAUUUUUAAAUUUAUGCAAGUGUAGGUAAAUGGAUAUAACAAUAAAUGGGUGUAAUUAAAAUAUUUGAGGCCAUUAAUUUCAGAGGGAUUGGGACAGUGGGUUAUUUAGUGGAUUAAAGAAAGAAGUGAGAGAAGAAAUGUUGUUAUUACAUAUUAAUGAAAAUAAAACCAAACUUAUUUGUGAAAAUAUGACAGAGUCAGUAUAUUGCAUCUGCCAGUAAAAACCUUAUCCUUCCAUUAAGGUUCAUUAUGCAGUACAAUAUAUGAAGAAAGUAUAAUGUUGAUCUGGCUAUUGAAACCUGCUAUUAUCUGUCUCAGAUUGUCAGCCUAUUAGCCCUUGUCUGUCCUUAUUUCCAUGGCACCUCAGAAUCAAAUUAGUCAUAGGAUCAAAAGUCUUGAUUAACAGAAGGUCUUGAUAAAAGUAUGCCAUUAAAAGCAGCAGUGAUAAAUCUUCCCCAGUACAAGAGCCAUCUGAUAAUCUAAUGCAGUGGGUCUAGAAAUAAAGACUUCAAUGAGUACCUGACACCUCUCAUUAAAAUUCUGGAUUUCAUGCCAUUUCUCAUGAAACAAGGGUUCAUAUAGGAAAGCAGUGUAUCAUCAAUAUUUUUGUAAAUGUGCCUCUGGAUGUCGAGCCAAGGUUAUGUAGUGAGCAUCAAGUUAACUCUGGAACAUUGUUUGUGGUAUGAGCAAAUUUCAAGGGAUAAAGGAUAUAUUAUAAUUUAUACUUUAUAUUUUACUUGGCUACAAAUUGUAAUAGCAAUAAACUUAUUUAAGAAAACAUACUUUACUUAUGGCUCUUGAAUGUUUUUUCUUUUUUUAAAAUAGGUUAAUUCAUUAAUUUACAUCUCAAAUGUUGUCCCCC
ensembl:lncRNA